rnacentral:lncRNA from 1 species
AACAUUUCAGAAGUGACAGAAUUCGUUCUCGUGGGGUUAACAGAUGUCCUAGAGCUUCAGGUCCCUUUAUUUAUCAUCUUUACUGUCAUUUAUCUCACCACUCUGGUUGGGAACUUUGGGAUGAUCAUGUUGAUUCUGUUGGACUCCCGGCUCCACAUUCCCAUGUACUUUUUCCUUGGCAAACUCUCUCUGGUGGACAGUGUUUGUCCUGCUAGUCACUGGCUCCUACAUCUGUGGACUCUUUCAAUCCUCCAUCCAUGUUGCUUUUACUUUCCAUCUCUCCUUCUGUCAUUCUAAUGUGGUUAAUCACUUUUUUUGUGAUAUUCCACCACUCUUAGCUCUUUCUUGCUCUGAUAUUUACGCACAUGAGAUUGUGCUCUUCAUAUUGGCAGCAUUUAAUAUCUUUUUCACUCUCUUGAUUAUCUUGAACUCUUAUGUUUUUAUUUUUAUUGCUAUCCUGAGGAUGCAUUCAGCUGAGGGACAAAAGAAGGUCUUUUCCACCUGUGCCUAUCACCUCACUACUGUUUCCAUCUUCUAUGGGACAAUCACCUUUAUGUACUUACAGCCAAGUUCUGGUCAUUCCAUGGACACAGACAAAAUCUCAUCUGUGUUCUACACCAUGGUCAUCCCCAUGCUUAACCCUCUAGUCUAUAGCCUGAGGAACAAAGAAGUCCAGAGUGCAUUCAAGGUGGUUAUUGGAAAAGCAAAGUCUUCAUUGGGCUUAGCCUACUAUUUAUAA